CCAACACCUCAAAGAUUCUGAUAAACAUUGUAAUCUAUUCAUCUGUUUAUGAAGGUAUUUAUUUCAAUUUUCAACUCUCUCUCUCUCUCUCCCCCUUUGCUUCUCUCUCCUGAAUUUCACAUACAAUCUAAAAUAUCUAAUAUUCACAGACACCUUUAAGUUCAAAAAUUUCCCCUAAUAGUACUCAAAGUCAAAGUAGCCUCAAGCAUACUAGUAAUUUUUUUUAUAGAAGCUUUAUCUGUUUAUAAAUCUUGAUUGAAACUUUUUCUUUAUCCCAUCAAGCUCAUGUUUUAUAAUUUUUUUUUGUGUUUUAUUUUGAAAACGUGGCAGGAGCCUUAUGGUCCACAUAUCGUGGAGAGCUUUUUCUUGAAAGAAGAUGAAAGGUAAAAUAGGUAAACUAUAUUUUUUCCACAAGGUUAAAGCAGUAUCUUUAAGAAGACAACACUUGUGGUUUCUUCACGUCACCCUCACUGUUAGUAGAAACUGGCGGACAUGGUAGUUUCUAACUUUGCUACUAUCCCACAUAAAUGAGUAAAUUUGUUGUUUUCCUUCUCAUUUGAUAUCCUUGACAUUAGUUCUAUUUCGCAUGAUAAUGUCCACUGGGGCAAGCUGAUAAGCUACUUCCUUAAAGAAAGUGGAAGAGAACUUGCUAAAAGAUCCUCUCAAAGCAUAUUCAUCGGACUGCAAAAGCCACAUUUCCUGAAAAUCCACUCUAUGUAUAGCUGUUAUAAUGCUGAGAUUUUUUUUCUUCCAUAUAAAUGAGUCUUUAUGCUCUCCAUUGGAGAAGUGGUUCUAUAUCCCCCACUAUGUCCCCUUUCUUCAACUCAUCUCAGCUGAGUAAUUUCAGUAUAGUGAUCAUUAAUCUUGUGUGGAUGUUGAUACCUCACUUGUAUUUUUGUUUUUCUACAAAAGU
rnacentral:lncRNA from 1 species